rnacentral:rRNA from 1 species
AUUGAACGCUGGCGGCAGGCCUAACACAUGCAAGUCGAGCGAGCGGCGGACGGGUGAGUAAUGUAUGGGGACUGCCCGAUAGAGGGGGAUAACUACUGGAAACGGUGGCUAAUACCGCAUACUAUCGGAUAACCCAUAUGGGAUUAGCUAGUGGGUGGGGUAAAGGCACACCUAGGCGACGAUCUCUAGCUGGUCUGAGAGGAUGAUCAACAAAACUAGGACUGAGACACGGCCCAAACUCCUACGGAGGAAGCAGUGGGGAAUAUUGAACAAUGGGAGGAAGCCUGAUGCAGCCAUGCCGCGUGUAUGAAGAAGGGCUUAGGGUUGUAAAGUACUGUCAGCGGGGAGGCUUUACCCGCAGAAGAAGCACCGGCUAACGCCGUGCCAGCAGCCGCGGUAAUAA